GUCGCUUCUCGGCCUUUUGGCUAAGAUCAAGUGUAGUAUUUGUUCUUAUCAGUUUAAUUUUCCAGAGUCAAGUAUAGCAUAUCACAUAUCAUCCUACUAUUUCUUUUAGUCUAAGACACUAAGCAUGUAUACUUCCUGAAUAGUACUACAUGAAAAGAAAUUUAUAAUUAUUUUCAUAGUUGAGUAAUAAAC